UGUUAAAUAAAGGUUAAAUAAAAUAAAAUUGAAAAUAUGCUAGAGAAAUACACAAAGCAUGAGGCAAAAUCACUGUAAUUUUUCUUCUGUCUCUAUCAUGGUCCAGGUCUGUCGGUGUGUAUUUGUGAAUGUGUAAUUUCUCCUUCUGAACCGAGAACCUCUCAUGUCAUGGCUGAUCUGCAGAAGCACACACGUCCCUAAUUCCCUCGUUUGACUGCUAAGAAUACAAGAAGCUGCAGGUAGAGGUCAGCUUUGCCUUCCAAGCCAACUCAGGAUUCUUAUCACCCACAGCAUGAUUGUCCGCUGUAGCUCUGUUGUCCCCCAACUUCAUCUCCCUGCCUAAUCUCCAGCUUUCAAUUUGCUCACUGUUUGGACCUCUGUUCUAACUAGCUCCACUCUCAAUGGUAAGAUGCCAAAGUGAAAGACGGAGCUGGAGCAGCCAGCACAGGGCCCCUUUUCCCAAGAAGAGAGCAAAAUCUGGACUGAAACCGCCUGCUGCAUGCCGGGGACUCGACUACGACCCGGGUCCAACCACCACAUUUCUGCUAGCCGCAAAACCACAUGCCCACUGCUUUUCCUGGAGUACUGCUUUCCCUUGGAUGCCCAAAGUGAACC